GAGUAGUACUGGAAAUAAAGUUUGCAUAUAUCAAAUAUUUUAAUCACGUAUUUUUCAAAGCAGAGAAAAGAUUUUGAACGAGCAUUCAGACUUUUCAAAUGAGAUAAGAUACAUAUGUACAAGUUGUUUUUGUUUCUAUAUGCUUUUAUAUGCAAUUAAAUAUGCAUGGAUUGCUAGUGGACCUUCGAGUUCUAGAAAAAGAGAUAUGAAAUUCCUACUGGAAUUUAAGAGGACCAAAGAUGAGUGUGUCACUUGGUUACCGAUAUACUUCAUAAGAGCAGAGUGAUUUGUGCGGGUCGAUUGGAACAUGUGGAAUGGUGAUGCGGACGGCCAAGAAGAAAAUUAUUCAUUAAGUUUUCUGUCUUUUAAUUUAAUUAGUUUGAUUUGUUUUGGAAGAAUAUAAAUGUUAUUGAAUUAGUUAGUUGAGUAUGUUUAUUUUAAAGAUACAAUUAUCAUGUUUUAAGUUAAAUUUGUGAAGGGUUCACUUAUCUGUUUAUUAAAGAAUUUUAUUUAUAUA